UUUACCACUCUUGUUGAUACGUUUAUUUUUUUUUAGAACCGUCUUGUGAGCCGAAAACUCUCAUGGAACACGAGACUGGAACACAGAUUUCCGAUAUCAGUUUUGGUUUGAUGUGCAUGCAACCACACCAGCUUAUUGAAGUGAGUUGUAUAUACUUGCUUGUUAAUCAAUACAUAAUGUUAGUGUACAGAAGGUUGUCCUGCAUAUU
rnacentral:misc_RNA from 1 species